rnacentral:lncRNA from 1 species
GAAAAUGGGAGUCAUCGAUCGGCAGUGGCUCGUCGACGGCAACGGGUGGGUGAUCUUGCUUGCAAUAGUUGAUGGCUUUUCUGGGAAACAAAAAUAAAAUAAAACAAAAGAAAAAAGAAAAUGAAGAGUAGAAAAAAAAAUGGAGAAAUGGGAGGAAGAUGGGAUAAGAGAAAAUGGUCGUGUGGUGUGUCUCUAGAAAUGGGGUAUAGUGGAGGAAGAGAAUGAAAAAAAAUGGAGGGAAAAAAAUUGGAAGAAAAAUGGGUAAGAUAAGAAGAACAAUAAAAUAAAAUAAAAUAAAAUUGGGGAAG